rnacentral:tRNA from 1 species
GAGGGAUGGCUGAGUGGUCGAAAGCACCGGUCUUGAAAACCGGCGGGGGUUAAUAGCCCUCCUAGGGUUCAAAUCCCUAUCCCU